rnacentral:lncRNA from 1 species
UUCAUGUUUUAGUUGGAAAUUUAAUUAUCUGUGAAAAGAAACUGAAAGAUAUCCCCACAAACAAACAAACAAAAAAAAAACAAACAAAAAAACCAACAACCUAAAAAUAUAUAAGGGUGUGGUUAUAAUGAUUAGUGAAACCUGUGUUGGGUGCCUUAUGUGUUCCUCUUGCUGUGUGGGGUGGGGCCUGGGUACCCCCAUGGUGUACCAGGAUCAUUUCUGAGCCACUGAAGAAAGACAGCUAUGAAAACAGACCAAUGCAAAUAAGUCUGUAUCGGAUGAAAAGUUUCCAUGAAAGAAGUACUAAUGCUGAUUGGAGAAAUAAUGGUAUGAACUCAUGUAGACACUCCUCUCCACUUGCUGAAAACCCUAUCAAAAUCUGAAGCUAUCCAAGAGAAGGCAUUAUAGCCCUCAGGAAAAAGCAGCUCAUUUGAUGCUGGAUGCCUGACCCCUGCUACCAUAAUAGCUGUUAAUGGAAACUUCACCUCCUGCAAGGAUAAGAUGGAUUUUUGGCAGCUGUGAGAGAUUAUGAAGAGCAAGAACAAUCUUAGAUGGAAUCAGAAGAAAAGGAAGCAUAUGUACCUUGAGAAACACUCAGCUGGUUUUUAUUAUACACCAAGCCUAUAUUUAUUACGAUGACUAGCCAAGAGAUAGAAAUUGAUAGAUCUCUGCUCUCUGACCAAGGAGGCUAGUGUCAGCUUGAUAAAUCCUUUCUUUCUUCUAGUUUGUACAUGUACAAGUGACUAGAGCUAUUCAAAAU